rnacentral:lncRNA from 1 species
GACACUUCUUUGUUCAUUCCUGUCUCCCCAGGUUGAUGUCAACAUCUCACAGGUGGUGAAUAUGCACAAUAAAAGUCUUCAAGUUACAGAAUUGCUUAACUCUGUGCAACCCACUCAAACAGCAUGGUGCUGCCUGGCCAAGGCAGAGGGUGUCUUCAAUGUCAGAACAAAGUGGAUUCUUCUUCAGCCUCGGGAGGAAAUCAGUAUUGGACUCAACCUGUCAUAUUGAUCAUGGUGAGUGACUGGUUUAAAAAUGG